CUGAAACAUAAGAAAGUAUAAAACAUCAGCCCUUUGAAAAACUAGUAAAAUUCUCACAUCAACAUAUAAGGAUGGUCCGUGUGUCUAAACCAGGGCACAAAUUAAUAGAAGAAUGAAGAACCAAAUCUACUCCAAAUAGAAAGUGGAUUAAUGGAUUCAGAACUCCAGAUCAAUAAAUUGAGACAAAGCAUAACUAAACGACUCAUCAUAGACUGCGCUGGAAAUGACUUGCAGACUGAUUUAAAACAGUGCUGAUGGAAUCUCCGUCUACACUUUUUAUCAAAUGAAAGUGUGAACAGCUCCACAAACAGUUGCACCCACGCAAAGUAGUGGUGGUGGGUAAGACGGACCACGGGGCUGCGGAUGACAGUGGCAGGGAGGAAUGCUU